rnacentral:misc_RNA from 1 species
AAGUCGUAACAAGGUUUCCGUAGGUGAACCUGCGGAAGGAUCAUUAUUAAUUCUUCUAGUCAAGCGGCUGCGCGUUUUUUUUUAAAACCGCGCGGCUGUUUUUCUUGUGAACUGGGGUUGCUGUUAAAAAAGUUUACGCUUUUUUUUCAGUAGCUCGGCUUUAAUGCUCUUGAGUUAAUUUUUUUGUUUUUGCUUUUUUUAAGCUUAACCGCUUAAGAAAAAUAAUUACAAGACAACUUUCAGCAAUGGAUCUCUUGGCUCUU